GAUGAACGCUGGCGGCGUGCCUAAUACAUGCAAGUCGAGCGAACAGACGAGGAGCUUGCUCCUCUGACGUUAGCGGCGGACGGGUGAGUAACACGUGGAUAACCUACCUAUAAGACUGGGAUAACUUCGGGAAACCGGAGCUAAUACCGGAUAACAUGUUGAACCGCAUGGUUCAACAGUGAAAGACGGUCUUGCUGUCACUUAUAGAUGGAUCCGCGCCGCAUUAGCUAGUUGGUAAGGUAACGGCUUACCAAGGCAACGAUGCGUAGCCGACCUGAGAGGGUGAUCGGCCACACUGGAACGGAGACACGGUCCAGACUCCUACGGGAGGCAGCAGUAGGGAAUCUUCCGCAAUGGCGAAAGCCUGACGGAGCAACGCCGCGUGAGUGAAGAAGGUCUUCGGAUCGUAAAACUCUGUUAUUAGGGAAGAACAAAUGUGUAAGUAACUAUGCACGUCUUGACGGUACCUAAUCAGAAAGCCACGGCUAACUACGUG
rnacentral:rRNA from 1 species